rnacentral:rRNA from 1 species
AUUGAACGCUGGCGGCAGGCCUAACACAUGCAAGUCGAGCAGAAACGAGUUAUCUGAACCUUCGGGGAACGAUAACGGCGUCGAGCGGCGGACGGGUGAGUAAUGCCUAGGAAAUUGCCCUGAUGUGGGGGAUAACCAUUGGAAACGAUGGCUAAUACCGCAUGAUGCCUACGGGCCAAAGAGGGGGACCUUCGGGCCUCUCGCGUCAGGAUAUGCCUAGGUGGGAUUAGCUAGUUGGUGAGGUAAGGGCUCACCAAGGCGACGAUCCCUAGCUGGUCUGAGAGGAUGAUCAGCCACACUGGAACUGAGACACGGUCCAGACUCCUACGGGAGGCAGCAGUGGGGAAUAUUGCACAAUGGGCGCAAGCCUGAUGCAGCCAUGCCGCGUGUAUGAAGAAGGCCUUCGGGUUGUAAAGUACCUUCAGUCGUGAGGAAGGCGGCGUCGUUAAUAGCGGCGUUGUUUGACGUUAGCGACAGAAGAAGCACCGGCUAACUCCGUGCCAGCAGCCGCGGUAAUACGGAGGGUGCGAGCGUUAAUCGGAAUUACUGGGCGUAAAGCGCAUGCAGGUGGUUUGUUAAGUCAGAUGUGAAAGCCCGGGGCUCAACCUCGGAAUAGCAUUUGAAACUGGCAGACUAGAGUACUGUAGAGGGGGGUAGAAUUUCAGGUGUAGCGGUGAAAUGCGUAGAGAUCUGAAGGAAUACCGGUGGCGAAGGCGGCCCCCUGGACAGAUACUGACACUCAGAUGCGAAAGCGUGGGGAGCAAACAGG